GCAUAUCAAUAAGCGGAGGAAAAGAAAAUAACAAUGAUUCCCUCAGUAACGGCGAGCGAAGAGGGAUAAGCUCAAAUUUUAAAUCUGUUGGGUUUCACCUAACAGAGUUGUAUUUUGAAGAAACGUUUUCUGCGUCCAGGAUUAGCCUAAAUCCUUUGGGAUAAGGUAUCAUGGAGGGUGAGAAUCCCGUUCAUGGUUAAUCUUAAGGAUGCUCUACGAUACGUUCUCCAAGAGUCGAGUUGUUUGGGAUUGCAGCUCAAAAUGGGAGGUAAAUUUCUCCUAAGGCUAAAUAUUGGCGAGAGACCGAUAGCGAACAAGUACCGUGAGGGAAAGAUGAAAAGAACUUUGAAAAGAGAGUUAAACAGUACGUGAAAUUGUUGAAAGGGAAACGAUUGAAGUCAGUCAUACUAACGGGAAAUCAACCUCUUGAGUUUGGUCUCGUGGGUUUCGAAGAGUUUUAAAAGCCUUCGGAUUUUCGAGAUUGGGCUCUUCUGGUGUACUUUCUCGUACGGUUAGUCAACAUCGGUUUUGAAUGUCAUAAAAUGACUGGAGGAAUGUGGCUUCGAUCUCGUAUUGAAGUGUUAUAGCCUUUGGUAGAUGUGAUGUUUGAGAUCGAGGAUUGCAACGGAUACCCUUCUGGGCUAUUCGUCUGAUCUCUGAAACGUUGCCUUGAUGUCGAAAGCUUGCUUAUGAUGUUAGGGUAUUACGGUCAAAAGGUUAGAACGGAUUAAAUUCGUUAAGGAUGUUGACGUAAGGCUUUAAACGAC
rnacentral:rRNA from 1 species